rnacentral:rRNA from 1 species
AUUGAACGCUAGCGGCAGGCCUAACACAUGCAAGUCGAACGAGUGGCGGACGGGUGAGUAAUGUCUGGGAAACUGGCUGCUGGCGGGGGAUAACUACUGGAAACGGUAGCUAAUACCGCCUACCAUCGGAUGAGACAAGAUGGGAUUAGCUAGUAGGUGGGGUAAAGGCUCACCAAGCCGACGAUCCCUAGCUGGUCUGAGAGGAGGACCAGCCACACGGGGACUGAGACACGGUCCAGACUCCUACGGGAGGCAGCAGUGGUGAAUAUUGCGCAAUGGGCGCAAGCCUGAUGCAGCCAGGCAGCGUGUAUGAAGAAGGCCUUCGGGUUGUAAAGUUCUUUCAGCGGGGAGGCGUUACCCGCAGAAGAAGCACCGGCUAACUCCGUGCCAGCAGCCGCGGUAAUUC